rnacentral:tRNA from 1 species
UCCGGGAUCGUCUAGCGGUAGGACGCGGCGCUUUGAACGCUGAAAGCGAGGUUCGAACCCUCGUCCCGGAU